rnacentral:rRNA from 1 species
AUUGAACGCUGGCGGCAGGCCUAACACAUGCAAGUCGAACGAGUGGCGGACGGGUGAGUAAUGUCUGGGAAACUGCCCGAUGGAGGGGGAUAACUACUGGAAACGGUGGCUAAUACCGCAUACUAUCGGAUGUGCCCAUAUGGGAUUAGCUAGUGGGUGGGGUAACGGCUCACCAAGGCGACGAUCCCUAGCUGGUCUGAGAGGAUGAUCAGCCACACUGGAACGGAGACACGGCCCAGACUCCUACGGGAGGCAGCAGUGGGGAAUAUUGCACAAUGGGCGCAAGCCUGAUGCAGCCAUGCCGCGUGUAUGAAGAAGGCCUUCGGGUUGUAAAGUACUUUCAGCGGGGAGGCGUUACCCGCAGAAGAAGCACCGGCUAACUCCGUGCCAGCAGCCGCGGUAAUUC